rnacentral:lncRNA from 1 species
ACCUCAGGUGAUCUGCCCACUUUGGUCUCCCAAAGUGCUGGGAUUACAGGCUUGAACCACUGCGCUCAGCCCAUCUUCUCCUUUUUACACUGCAUUAUUGCCUUUGGGAUAAAUCAGGUGACCACAGAAGUAUGCCCAUGGCAGACAUCCAGCUGAUCACACUGUGUCCACAUAAGGCAAAUGCUGAGCUGUAAUCCAUCAAGCUGUUUCCGCAUAGAGAAAAGGCCAUAUGAGUACACAGCCAGAAGGUGUCUGCCUACAAGACAAAGAGGGAAAACUUACCUGAAACCAACCCUGAUGGAUAUUGGAUUUCUAAGCUCCAGAACUGUGAGAAAAUUAAUUUUAUGUGCUUUAAGACACUCAAUUUGUGGUAUUCUGUUAUGGCAGCCUAUGCUAGUCAAUUUGCAUUACCAUAAAGCAACACCUGAGAGUGGGUAAAUUAUAAAGAAAAGAAGUUGAAUCGGCUCAUGGUUCUGCAGGCAGUACAGAAGCAUAGUGCUGGCAAUUGCCCCUGGCAAGGGGCUCAGGAAGCUUACAAACAUGGCAGAAGGCAAAGGGAAGCCAACAUAUCACACGUAAGCUCAGGAAGCUUACAAACAUGGCAGAAGGCAAAGGGAAGCCAACAUAUCACGUGGCGAGAAAGACAGAGAAGCGGUAGGUCCCAGACUCUUUUAAACAACAAGACCUCAUGUGAACUGAGGGGAAACUCACUUUCACCAAGGAGAUGGUGCUAAACCACUAAUGAGGGAUCUGUCCCAUGAGCCAAUCACCUCCCACCAAGACCUACCUCCAAUUUUGGAAAUUAUAUUUCAACAUGAGAUUUGGAGGGGACAAACAUCCAAACCAUAUCCCAGCCUGAGCAGACUAACAGAGUCUCUGAAUAAAUCUAUGAAAAUGACUAGAGUAUUAUUUUGUUGAGUGAUUUCUUCUUGUAUUAGGAUUGGUCUCCUUGAAAAUAUUUUUCUCAUAUCUGUUAUAAUAAAAUACUGAGAAUCAUACUAAUUCUACUCUAAACUUAGAUAUUUAAGAGGGUUGGAUUUGACUGAUUGCUCUGAUGUUGCUAACAUAGUCAAAGACUUUUCAAAACUAAAGUGUAAUAUUAUGUCAUGCAACCUUGAGAAAAUUACAAUGGACAAAGCAGAACUAUAAUUCACAAUUCAUCUCCCAAACAAAUUGUGACACCCCUUCUUUCCAAUCCACUGAAAUAUGCCUAAAAUGAGAAAAAAGGGAAAUCUUAAAAACAACAACAACAACAACAAAGAAAAAACAGAAAACGGCAACAUUCAGGCAAAAAAGAAUGUGAGGACUAUGAUGCUGGCAUGCUAAACUUAAUUAAUAAUAAAUGAGAGAGUUUGGAAUGAU